UACGGGGGGGGUAAGCGUUGUUCGGAAUUACUGGGCGUAAAGGGCUCGUAGGCGGCCAACUAAGUCAUACGUGAAAUCCCUCAGCUUAACUGGGGAACUGCGUGUGAUACUGGAUGGCUUGGAUUUGGGAGAGGGAUGCGGAAUUCCAGGUGUAGCGGUGAAAUGCGUAGAUAUCCGGAGGAACACCGGUGGCGAAGGCGGCAUCCUGGACCAAUAUUGACGCUGAGGAGCGAAAGCCAGGGGAGCAAACGGG
rnacentral:rRNA from 1 species